AAAGAAAAAAAAAUGCAACUAUUUGACAAAAUCGUUCCGAUAAAAAUACAAUUUCGCCUGGCUCUCUCACGGUUUUGCACACCACAGAGACGAGAGGUUCUCUUCCCAGCCUUCACGCACAGAGAAGAGAAAGGAGCAGCCGAGUCGUUCAUCUUCUUCCUUCUCUCUUUCAUUUCUUCUUCUUUCUACUCUCUGCUCUCUGCGCACAGAGAGGACUCCGCCGCGGUGGAUCGGAGCACGAAGGGCGCUCAUCUUCAACCUGCUCUGAUACGAGUAGAGGGAGAGAAACGAUAAAGCGGAAGGUUGGCGUGGGGAUCGUUGAAACGACCUCUUAAACCAAAGGGGAAGUGUUGAAGGAAUUCAGUUUAGGCUGCGUUUGAGCCCCAACCCAAUUUACAGAGAAGG